UCCGGGGGUGUGCCUCAGGGCCGCGCCCCUCGGUUUGUGUCUUGCGGAUAGGAGAGGCGCAACCUGGUACUUGAGCUUUAAAGCCCGAGAAAAUCCUGUUUUAAAUUACCUCUUUUUAACCCUUGCCGUCAAGUGCCAUGGAGCAUCCGCGAGGCAGUGUGAAGCCUCAGCCUAUUUACUGGUUUGACUGGAUUGGGAGCCAGCAGGUUCACUUACUAUUGAGACUCCCAGAACGACAGCAGAGCAGAGUUUAAGUUACUGGUGCUCUGGGAGGUCUCGGAGACCAAAUUGUCAGAGACGUCUAAGGCAUUUGCGGAGAACACAGAGUUGACUUGCUCAAUGAAUGUUAUGUGAAUGUUAAUGCAAAAAAAGACUUAGAUGGAUGCAAUUUAAACUGUCACAAUAUAUUUGAGAAAUGAUGAUCCAAAAUUUGACCAUGAAGAAGUUCUUAGAAUGUCAAUGACUCAUUCACACCUAAAUCAAGGGACAUGGAUGAAGCUGGAAACCAUCAUCCUCAGCAAACUAACACAGG